rnacentral:rRNA from 1 species
CACUCCUGCGGGAGGCAGCAGUGGGGAAUUUUGGACAAUGGGCGAAAGCCUGAUCCAGCAAUGCCGCGUGAGUGAAGAAGGCCUUCGGGUUGUAAAGCUCUUUUGUCAGGGAAGAAACGGUGAAAGCUAAUAUCUUUUGCUAAUGACGGUACCUGAAGAAUAAGCACCGGCUAACUACGUGCCAGCAGCCGCGGUAAUACGUAGGGUGCAAGCGUUAAUCGGAAUUACUGGGCGUAAAGCGUGCGCAGGCGGUUUUGUAAGUCUGAUGUGAAAUCCCCGGGCUCAACCUGGGAAUUGCAUUGGAGACUGCAAGGCUAGAAUCUGGCAGAGGGGGGUAGAAUUCCACGUGUAGCAGUGAAAUGCGUAGAUAUGUGGAGGAACACCGAUGGCGAAGGCAGCCCCCUGGGUCAAGAUUGACGCUCAUGCACGAAAGCGUGGGGAGCAAACAGGAUUAGAUACCCGAGUAGUCCCAUGAU